rnacentral:tRNA from 1 species
AUUUAUAUAGUUUAUUAAAACGUUACAUUUUCAUUGUAAAAUAAGAUUUUAUCUUAUAAAUA